ACUCCGAAUGCCAAUUAAUUUAACUUGGGAGUCAGAACAUGGGUGAUAAGGUCCGUGUUCGAAAGGGAAACAGCCCAGACCACCAGCUAAGGUCCCAAAAUAUAUGUUAAGUGGAAAAGGAUGUGGCGUUGCCCAGACAACUAGGAUGUUGGCUUAGAAGCAGCCAUCAUUUAAAGAGUGCGUAAUAGCUCACUAGUCGAGUGACACUGCGCCGAAAAUGUACCGGGGCUAAACAUAUUACCGAAGCUGUGGAUUGUCCUUUGGACAAUGGUAGGAGAGCGUUCUAAGGGCGUUGAAGCAUGAUCGUAAGGACAUGUGGAGCGCUUAGAAGUGAGAAUGCCGGUGUGAGUAGCGAAAGACGGGUGAGAAUCCCGUCCACCGAUUGACUAAGGUUUCCAGAGGAAGGCUCGUCCGCUCUGGGUUAGUCGGGUCCUAAGCUGAGGCCGACAGGCGUAGGCGAUGGAUAACAGGUUGAUAUUCCUGUACCACCUAUAAUCGUUUUAAUCGAUGGGGGGAC
rnacentral:rRNA from 1 species